UACGUAGGGUGCAAGCGUUAAUCGGAAUUACUGGGCGUAAAGCGCACGUAGGUGGCGACGUAAGUCGGGUGUGAAAGCCCCGGGCUCAACCUGGGAAUGGCGAUGAAGACUGCAAGGCUAGAAUCUGGCAGAGGGGGGUAGAAUUCCACGUGUAGCAGUGAAAUGCGUAGAGAUGUGGAGGAACACCGAUGGCGAAGGCAGCCCCCUGGGUCAAGAUUGACGCUCAUGCACGAA
rnacentral:rRNA from 1 species